AGAGGAGCGGGGAUGUUUCCCCCCUGCGUGGGGGAAAACCCGGCAGCCAAAAAGCCCCCCCGGCCCCCGGGACCCACAGAGCUGUCCUUCCCCGUGAUAAGCGUCUCAUCACCGGCCAGCUCGGAGGCCAGCCUCCCCGAGGAGCCCCCCUACAACGUCUACAGGCUGCAGCCCCCGGGAAAAGAGGGGGCAGAAAGGUUAAAAAACAGGCCUGAAACCUUCUGGACGGUGCUAAAAGAACCUCAGAAGAAGGCGUUAUCCGUGAACGGCACCAACAGCACCCGCCCGGUGGCACCCGCGCCCCGAAAACCCGUGUCAGCCCAACCCAAACCGCCAAAAACUGGGCCGGGGCUCUCCGUUUUGUGGCCCCGGCCACCCUAAACUUCGGGCUUUGAGCGCCCGACCCAGCGAGGAGGCCAUCGGAGUUGGCAAAAAGAGAUUUCCAUCGUUCUUCCUGACACGAUUGCCUCAGGAAGGAGGUGGAGGAAAACACGAUGGAAUCCC